GCGUCAUGUCUGAAAUGCAGGGUGAUGUUCUUUCUACAAAGUUGGAGGAAGAAAUCAGCACUUUGAAGGAACAGCUAAUGCUCAUAAUGUCCAAACUGGAGGAUCAGAGAUCCGUGGAGAAAGAGCUGUUGAAGUCUCUUGAACAGUGGAAAGAUGAAGAAAACGAAAGGCAAAAGGCAAAAAUGCAAGAAAUUAAACAGAUGUUGCUUAAGGAAUUUAAUAAGCUGACCGAUAUGACUGACCUUCUAAACGAUUUCCUAUAUCACCUGCACAGCCUGCACUCCAGUGCCUAUAUUAAGGAUGAAAACAAGCGAAAACUAGCAGAUAAACUGGACAGAAAGCUGCAAAAACAGAAGGAAUGGAUACUGUCUCAAAGAGAGCAGAUCGAGACGCUUACUUCAAAUCCACCAGAGCACAGAGAAAAGAAAGUGGAGGUAAAAAAACAGAAAUGUGCUGUGAGGAGAAAUCUCAUGAAGGAGCUGAGCCUGUCACUGCAGGCUCUUGUUGAGGAGCUGGAAGAUAUUUGCAUGGAACUUUUCUCUGCUCAAGAAAAGAAAGUUGGAGUGACAAAACAGAGCCUCAAAAGCCAUUUGAGAAGAAACCGCAUCAUAAAGGAGCUUUGGAAGUUAUUGGCCCAAGAUUUUUCUGAGGACCUGGAAGACUUCUGGACAGAACUUUUCUAUGUUUUGCAGAAGAAGGUGGAGAUAAAAAAACAGAUGCCAAAAACUCUCGGUUGGAAAAGCACUGUUAUAAAGGAGCUUGGGCCAUUGUUAUUGCAGGCUCUUGUUGAGGAGCUGGAAGACUUGAUCGUGAAGGUUUUCUACAUUACAGAAAAUAAAGUUGAGGAGAAAAAACAGAAGGCAGAAAGGUCCUUUAGCAGAACUCCCACCCUGAAGGAACUGGGAUCAGUGUUGCUGAGGACUCUUCUUGAGGAACUGGAAGACUUCUGUAUGAAAGUUUUCUGUGCUACCGAAAAGAACGCAGAGGAGAAAAAACAAACACCAAAAAGUCCCUUGAGGAGAAGCCCUGUCGUACAGGAGUUGCAGCCGUUCAGCUUGGAGGAGAGAUCCAAGGAGGAGCUUGUAGAAAGGUCCAGAGCGGCGGAAAUCAGCAUGACUGAGUUUGUUGCUUUGGCUGCUGAUAGCGAUACUGAGUGGACAGAUAUGAGUGACAUGGAGAACAACCAACAGCAGGAGCAGCUCAACAGGCAUUCCACCCAGAAGAAAGAGAAGGCUUCUCAAGGUGGACUGAUCAAAAAUUUGCAGCACCUUGAGAGGCUGUUUACAGAGCGAGCCUUAAAGAAGCCGAUGGAAAGAGACUUAUCUCACAAGAGAAAUGUGUGGCAGAAACCUGAGGAUUCUGAGAAGGAUGACAGUGAUGACAAUGAUGACAAUGAUGAAAAUGACUAUGAUUACUCAGAUUCUUGCUCUUUAGAGGACAACCCUUCACUAAGCAAACCUGCUGCUGUGAAAAACAGUUUGGAUUCCAUGAGCACCAGUGUCUGGGCUUCUUCAACAGGAAAGAUGCAAACACUUUGGCCUUAGAGUUUAGCUACCUUAUUAAAUGUUAUAUUUUUUGAGUGGACAAAAAUAACUACCAAACACCCCCCCCAUAGACCUCCUCCCAUACCAGACCAUACAGAAUCCUUAGUAAUGUUUUUGUACUAAUGUUGCUCGUAAAUUGUAAUUCCUGUAUAUCACUGGAUGUAAUGGCAAUAGUAGUAACACAAACAACUAGCAAAAUUAAAAUUACACCUUUAAAUUACAAUAUCAUACGCCUAGCCUAAAUGUAUUUACAUUUACAUAGUUUAAUGUGGUUAAAGUGAAAAUUCAGUAUUAGAAGAAUAGAAUUUGAAGUAAAAACGUUUAAGAACUACAUCAGAAUUAAGUUUAUUUUAACGUUAAAGUUUACAGUUACAUGAGAUACAUUAAUGGAUUAGGUUUAAAAAAUAAGCAAUAAGAAAAUGUAAAGUGUAAAUCUAUUGGACACAUAAGUUCUAUGAAAUGUAAAUUUUAAUGUGUCACUAUUUAAAAUGAAAAAAAAAACUGAAUUUAAGAUUUAUUAUAUAUCUAAACAUGUAUCAAGAAACAUAGCAUGUCCCCCCACUUCAUGUUUAAGCUGUCAAUUUCUCUAGUUAUCAAAGAGUUAUAUAAACAAUAAUUCUUAUACAUGUAAGUUUAUUAUUUUAAUCAUAGAAUAAUAUGUGAUACAUUUAAACAAUUUACAACUAUAUUUAAUAUUUCACAGAUUAUAUGAAUACUAACAACAAAAUUGUUUAGUAAAAUCUUUUGACAUUGAAUUACAACAUUAUUAGUUACGACAUUAUUAGUAACUUAGUGGAAGCCUAUUUUGAUUUUACUCCUUUUUCUUUAAUUACUGCUUCAUUCUCAAAAGUUAUUGAUAUAGGUUCAGAAAUAGUAAUUACCACAAUACUGUAGCUAAAACAUAAGAAAAUGUGACAAAACAGUGCGUGCUUGUAGCGCGUGCGUGCGAAACCACGUGAUUUGAAAUGUCAUCGUAAUUAGGUUCAAAAAGUAAAUGUGCAUAGAGUUUUAUCCUUGUACGUACUGAUACAUGUAAGCUGGGCUUAAUUUCAAAAAAUGCUUUUAUUGGUAUGACUAACUACAGGGAUGUUUUUUUUAUAAAAAAUAAUAGAUCUCUGCUGAAACACUGUGCAAAAAUUUUAUAGACAGUAAUUUUGGUGUCACCCCCUUUGGUGUCACCCAAUGCAGUCCGCAGACCCUGCACCCCCCCAAUGAUGACACUGCAAACACCUUUUAGGGGCAGCAAAUAGUAUAGAGGUUAAGCCUUUUAAUGAAAAGUUACCAGUUCAAGCCAUACUAUGGUGAUUUUACCCUUGAGCAAGGUACUUAACCCCAAAUUGCUCCAGUAAAUAUUACAGCUGUAUAAAUACGUGAAUUGUAUGUUUCUUUGGAUGCAAAAAGUACUUUGAUAAUUAUCGAAGUGCACAGUUUUAGUACUGUACCAGAAUCUUAUUUGGCUUCUGAUUUGGUUGUGCGCCUAUCAGGCAUUAUAAUUAACUUUAUACUUUUUUUCCAAAGGUAUUAAUAAAGUGAAGGCACACUGCA
ensembl:lncRNA